rnacentral:rRNA from 1 species
UACGUAGGGUGCGAGCGUUAAUCGGAAUUACUGGGCGUAAAGCGCGCGCAGGCGGUUCGUUAAGUCAGAUGUGAAAGCCCCGGGCUCAACCUGGGAACUGCAUUUGAAACUGGCGGGCUUGAGUGUGGCAGAGGGGGGUGGAAUUCCGCGUGUAGCAGUGAAAUGCGUAGAGAUGCGGAGGAACACCGAUGGCGAAGGCAGCCCCCUGGGCCAACACUGACGCUCAGGCACGAAAGCUAGGGUAGCAAACGGG